GGACGACUGUGACCCCUGUUCGGCAUCGUAACAGAAGUUAGUUCGCGCUCUCGUACCGCACAUAAGCCUAGCCGCUUCGUCGUACGCUCGUGCUGCAUCCUCUGCUGUCUCAAAUGUGCCUAACCAUAUUCUUGUUUUCCUGGUGGCGAAUUUCGGAGACCCAAGAUCCCCAAUGUCUUUGACGAACUCCUCUGUAUCGCUGUUGAGAUCUAGCCAUGGUGGUUUGAUUAAUUGCAAGAGGUUUUGAAUCUUGAUGGGGUUGUCGUGAAGGUGUUUGUGGAAAUGUCUCAGUGAGAACACUAGAACAAGACUUGUG
rnacentral:lncRNA from 1 species